rnacentral:lncRNA from 1 species
AAAUAUCAUCUCUUUAUGAUACCCACUAAAAUAAAACUUGCAAGACAAGCACAUAGAGGAAAAAAUUAAAACCAGAGCAUUAAUAAAAAUAGAUUGAGGAUAUUUUAAUUCAAAUGUAUUUGCCUCUCUUUAAGUAUGACUUAAAUGCAACUGGUUUCUCAGCAAGUGUGGCCUUGGACAAGGCAUGUGAAGUGGCUACCUUGGCAAAUAUCAUUAAUUUCCAUGUUAUGGAAAACCCAUACACAAUUCUGUACAAUGGUUUGGAUACAGCUUAAGAGUGAACUUCAGACUGCUGAUUGCUUUAUCCGUGCACCCUGAAUUCCCAAUAAACCUGAGGGCAUCAAAUAGAAGAAAACAGUUCCAGUUGAAGAGGGUGAAAUCACCACCCCUCUUCCAGGCUAUAUAAAGGAAGAUGAAUUUAAUUGAAAGUUCAGCACCUACCAUAAAGGCAUUGUGGAAAUUUCUGAGGGUGCAAAGAUGAAAAAGACACAAGAAGCUCACAGUCUGCUGGAAGUGUCACACAAAUAAAAACUGUGUGAGAGAAAGGGGUACAAAAGCGUGUACUGGAUACCCUGAUAAUGGGGUACGUAAUCUAUCUGGAAGCCUGAGUCAUUAAAUAUCCUUUUGCUUCACAUUUUCACGCAGGACUACACAGGUCCUAUAGGACAGAGAGACCAAUACCUCCAUUUCUGUAUCCUUCACAACUCCAAAUAGCACUGUCCUUGGUAUGCAAAGUGAAUUCUCAAAGUUGAAGAGUAAAUGAAUAUGUUUCUUUUUAUUUUCAUUCUUGCAUUUGACAUUGCGAAUAACAGCAAAUACACAUAUUUUACUUACCAGAGAGCAGUCACUGAAAACCAUUUAAGUGCUUUACCUAUAUUAAUUAAUUUUAUAUUCACAUCAAUCCCAUAAUGUUGUCAUAAUUAUAUUAUACAUUGACAAAAUAUGCUGUCCCUUCCUAUCAGCCUUUUCCUAAUAGGUCCAUCCUUUCUGGAGAAUUAUAUUUCCUAUCCCAUUAUGCCAGGCACUUUGUGUAACUUGCUUCAUUGCCAAAGAAAAUAUGAGCAGAAGUGGCCUGGGCACUUAGAUGGCUUAAGAGCCAUUACAUAGCUCUGCUAACCUCUUUUUUCC